UUGGAGGGCAAGUCUGGUGCCAGCAGCCGCGGUAAUUCCAGCUCCAAUAGCGUAUAUUAAAGUUGUUGCAGUUAAAAAGCUCGUAGUUGAAUUUCGGGGUCAGUAGGUUGGUCGUGCCACUGGUAUGCACUGGUCUCACUGAUUCCUCCUUCCUGAUGAACCGUAAUGCCAUUAAUUUGGUGUUGCGGGGAAUCUGGACUGUUACUUUGAAAAAAUUAGAGUGUUUAAAGCAGGCUAACGCUUGAAUACAUUAGCAUGGAAUAAUGAAAUAGGACGAUCGAUCCUAUUUUGUUGGUUUCUAGGAUUGACGUAAUGAUUAAUAGGGAUAGUUGGGGGCAUUAGUAUUCAAUUGUCAGAGGUGAAAUUCUUGGAUUUAUUGAAGACUAACUACUGCGAAAGCAUUAGCCAAGGAUGUUUUCAUUAAUCAAGAACGAAAGUUAGGGGAUCGAAGACGAUCAGAUACCGUCGUAGUCUUAACCAUAAACUAUGCCGACUAGGGAUCGGAUGAUGUUAAUUUUUUAAUGACUCAUUCGGCGCCUUACGGGAAA
rnacentral:rRNA from 1 species